UAUUUGCCUAUUCAAAGUUUUAUUACAAAUACAUAUAAAAUAUGUUCAUUUAGUAUUCCAGCGAACAGCAAACUUUGCCAAAAAGGCUAUCACACUUGGAUCGUUUAAUGAACUACAACUAGUUUCGCCAUAAAACGGACUUCAGAAUCAGCCCACCAUGCAAAUGCACCAAAAUUAAUUAGGGUAGAAUCAGACCAAACGGCAGCGAGUGAGAGAGUCAGACAAUCAGACAGCUGGAAGAAAAUGUCGGAAAAUCGCUUGGCAUUUCCAUAAACAUGAAAAUGCCUGAAACCCAGAGAGAGGGAGAGAGAGAGGAAGACAAGGAGCAACAAACAAAUAGAAGAUGUCAUAAAAAUGCCAUUAGACACGCAAAGGAUACCAGGCAGGCGC